UACAGAGGUCCCGAGCGUUGUUCGGAUUCACUGGGCGUAAAGGGUGCGUAGGUGGCAUGGCCAGUUUGAUGUGAAAACUCAGGGCUCAACCCUGAGCGUGCUUCCGAUACGGGCAGACUAGAGGUAUGCAGGGGAGAACGGAAUUCCUGGUGUAGCGGUGGAAUGCGCAGAUAUCAGGAAGAACACCCGUGGCGAAGGCGGUUCUCUGGGACGUAACUGACGCUGAGACGCGAAAGCGUGGGGAGCGAACAGG
rnacentral:rRNA from 1 species